UUUUCACUUAGACACUCCAUCUUAAGUCUGUUUCAAUUGAACACUCCAACCACAUCCUGAAUGUGUCAUUUAGACACAAAAUUGAUAGGCAGCCAAAUACAAAAAAAGCGUGUAUUUCACAGGCCGAAAUGACGAAUAAGACGGGGACAAGUGGAUAUAACUUGAACAAAUUAAAAAAAAAAAUUAACGGGAAACAAGAACCCAUCCCACCCCUUUGUCAUCUUCCCCAAGACCCCAACGACUUCCCUUCCCUCCUUCCGUCUUCUUCUUCCAAAAGAAAGAACAGAGGUACAAACUCACUCCCCUGCCACCACUCUUUUUCCUCCUAAUCUCCACCUCCAACCCUCUACAAUAUUAAGAACAUGCAUAAGACAUAGAAAUUAACUAAUAAUUUCUCUGUCACGGAGGAUUAAUCCCAGAUUGUCAGAAAUUACACCCACCACAACAAGCUAUCGAGAUCUUCUGGAAUCGAACAAUACACACCAAAUACACCAAAUAUUCUGUCAUGGAGCAAUUUCUGUCAAAACUUUUCUUCUUUUUUUUCUUUUUGUUGAAAGCUCCUUCUUUUAGUAGUUGUUUGAAAUCUUUGACCAAGAAUGAUUCGCUAGAGAUCGUUUCUGAAAUUUUGAAUUCCUGUGAAUAUGAGAUGCUUAAAACUCUAUUGGUGUUGGUUAUUUAUAGUUUGUUACUAUGUGUAUAAUGUGCAUGUGAGAUUUUAUCUGCCUUUUAAGAUGGCCAAAUACAUCGCCAGCCCCUUAAAGUUGUCCAUACUUUUCACUUAGACACUCCAUCUUAAGUCUGUUUCAAUUGAACACUCCAACCACAUCCUGAAUGUGUCAUUUAGACACAAAAUUGAUAGGCAGCCAAAUACAAAAAAAGCGUGUAUUUCACACGCCGAAAUGACGAAUAAGACGGGGACAAGUGGAUAUAACUUGAACAAAUUAAAAAAAAAAAUUAACGGGAAACAAGAACCCAUCCCACCCCUUUGUCAUCUUCCCCAAGACCCCAACGACUUCCCUUCCCUCCUUCCGUCUUCUUCUUCCAAAAGAAAGAACAGAGGUACAAACUCACUCCCCUGCCACCACUCUUUUUCCUCCUAAUCUCCACCUCCAACCCUCUACAAUAUUAAGAACAUGCAUAAGACAUAGAAAUUAACUAAUAAUUUCUCUGUCACGGAGGAUUAAUCCCAGAUUGUCAGAAAUUACACCCACCACAACAAGCUAUCGAGAUCUUCUGGAAUCGAACAAUACACACCAAAUACACCAAAUAUUCUGUCAUGGAGCAAUUUCUGUCAAAACUUUUCUUCUUUUUUUUCUUUUUGUUGAAAGCUCCUUCUUUUAGUAGUUGUUUGAAAUCUUUGACCAAGAAUGAUUCGCUAGAGAUCGUUUCUGAAAUUUUGAAUUCCUGUGAAUAUGAGAUGCUUAAAACUCUAUUGGUGUUGGUUAUUUAUAGUUUGUUAGCUAUUCAUAUAUGGUGUUUGGAUUGAAAAUUUCGGACAAUUUUGUUGGGUUUAGAGAUCUGCUUGAAUCUCAUUAUUUGGUUUGAAAACUUUCGGAUCUGACUCUGAGCAUAUGAAUGUUGAAGUUUGAAUCCCAAAAUUUUUGGAUCUUUGGUUAUUGUGAAAAGAAUCAUCUAGGUUAUUAACUUAUAACUCAAAAUCAACUAUUAGUUAGUUCGUGAUAAUCAAAAAUUCAUAAUAGCUAUUGUUGAGGUUCGAGUCUUUAGCGGAGAAGAAACAAAGAAGAACAAAAUAUUUGAGGUUUUUCUGGUGAUUUCCAUUUAUUCUGGCAAUGGAAACUAGAAUAGUAAGGUGAUGGUGGUGGACUAGUGGAGGGAGAGAGGAAGGUGGUGACCUGGACAAUGGCAUGUGAAAGAAUAGGAGGAAAAUGAAAAAAGGAAAAAAUUAUAAAAGGUAAAAUUGAAUUCUAACGCUCUGAAAAAUGGUGUAAUACACACACUAUGUCACAUCAUCAAAUUGUGUCUAAAUGACACAUUUGGGAUGUGAUUGGAGUAUUCAAUUGAAACGGACUUAAAAUGAAGUGUCUAAGUGAAAAGUGUGGACAAUUUUAAGGAGCUGACGAUGUAUUUGGCCUUUUAAGAUCAACAAUAACUGGCAUAAAGUAGUUUAGUAGUGCUCCAAAACCAAGAAAACUUCCGUCCUCCCCAUGAUUGGUGAUGACUGAUGAGCGGCUCCGAGGCUCUUACAUAUAUGAUUUACUCUUGGGAGUCUGAACGUGAUGUUACUUCAAUGUCAUGGAUAUAUUUAGUAGAUUCUUAUUGCAAAAAGUAAUAUGACAACAUUGUUUCAUAGGGAUGGAGUCAUUCCAUUAAUACUAUCAGGGAGAGCUAGAGCGACUGAUUCGGGGCUAAAGAUACAAUGCUUCAUUGCUUACAAUCUUUAACAUUUCUAAAGUUGUGCCACAUUGAGAUUAUAAUGGCUCUAGAUGGAUUAUUGAACUUCUACUGUUUCUAUGUUUCCCAUUAAGUACUUGCUAUAAAAACUAAUACAAAUUGCAGAUUGAGCCUUCUACGCAUAAGGGGCAUGGAUUAAAGGCAAUGGUUCUCCAUACUUUUUGUGUCCUUGUAUUUAUUAAUCUCUCAUAGUUGAAGUUAUUUUCCUACUCCAAUUUCUUUUCUUUUUUUAAAAGAUAUUUGUAUUAUUUACUUAUUAAAAAAAGAAGAUAUUUUGUAUGCUUUAUGUAUAUUAUAGAUCCGUUGUUUCUAGGUAAUCAUUGAACUCUGCAAGUUGUCUCUAGUGGAGGAUAUCUAUUUGUCACUACCAGUUUUUUUAAUUUCUAUGUAAACACUAGAUGAUUUACAUAUUGAUUAUAUAGCUUCACAGAAGAAAUUGUCUUUGAAAUGUGUUAUAAGCGGCAGAGGUAUUAAGCACCUUGACUCAACUAAAUCGGGAUACAUUGCAAUUUAUGUUGUCAAAGAUUCUUAAUAUAUCCUAGUUGCGUACAACAUAGAAAUUCCAGAACAAGAUAAAAAUUGAUGAGAGAAACUUAGGUCCUAUUUUCUGCUGCAUGUCUGUUAUCAUUCAUAAGCUUAAACUAUAUCGAUAAUUUGUUCCUCCUUGGACACAGGAUUUAAUGGUUUAAUUAGUUAAGAAUGUUAGAGUUUAGUGAUCAGUUAUAAAUGUCAAACCUUUUUCAAAGAUUUGGCAGCACAAUGCUAGUUGCAUGGGGUGUUUGUUGUUGUUAUUUAUCAGGGGGGGAAAUUAGGUUUCUGUUUUUGUUGUGACAUAACAAUAUGCAUCAGAAUUGAAAUGACCAUGUUGUUUCUUAUAUAAUCCUUUACUUUGGGUUUAGAAAGGAGAAAGUGAGAGAGACUCCAUUUGUAGUGAUUAGACUUUAGAUUGUGCACGAAUGAUAUGUUAGAACUCUGAUAUAACUCUGUUUGUCUUCAUGUUGUGUUAUGCUUUGCUCCACUGAUACAAUCUUGAUAAUAUAUUUUUUAUACAUUUAACAAGUUAUGUAUGGGGUCCUUAUGAUACAUAUUUAAUGCACAUACUAUCUACGUGUAUGUAUCUUGUCUACUGGUACCAUAUUUUUUGAUAGGUCGACUAUUCAUUGAUUCGCCAAUUAGCUUUUGAAAGAUGUGUUUGGUAAAAUAGGCUGCUUUUAAAGUCGGAAUAAAUUGUACUACAGUAAUACAGAGCAGAUGGCUGUUUGUUGGCACCUUGUCAGGAUUAACUAGUGGUUUUAGCUUGCUUUUGACGGGCAGCUAGUUCUAUCAUAAGUUGAUAGAAAGGUGAAAACAAUGAUUUUAGAUGGAUAACCCUUGUCAAAAUCAGCACUGCUGUGAUAGUUUGCAUCACAUUGCCUCUAUGGAAAAGAUCAUCAGAAACUGUAGUUUGCUGCAAAAGAAUAAGAGGGAUGGACAUCUUUAUUUGGAUCAGACUAGUGUAUAUGAUUAUAUGUAUAUGUAAAUUGGUCUAAAUUUGAAUUUUUUUUUACAAAUGUCUUCUCUCUUUCAUGUUAGGUUAGCUACUAUGUAACAUUUUUCUGAUGGCAGAAUCAGUUAGACAUUUUGUUGAGUCUAUUUUAAUAUCGAGUAGCUUUUGCACAUUCAUACUGCA